GUGGGUGUAAUGUACCUACUAGCCUACGACGGGUACGGGUUGUGAGAGCAAGAGCCCGGAGAUGGAUUCUGAGACAUGAAUCCAGGCCCUACGGGGCGCAGCAGGCGCGAAAACUUUACAAUGCGGGAAACCGUGAUAAGGGGACACCGAGUGCCAGCAUCCUAUGCUGGCUGUCCGGGUGUGUAAAAUACACCUGUUAGCAAGGGCCGGGCAAGACCGGUGCCAGCCGCCGCGGUAACACCGGCGGCCCGAGUGGUGAUCGUGAUUAUUGGGUCUAAAGGGUCCGUAGCCGGUUUGGUCAGUCCUCCGGGAAAUCUGACAGCUUAACUGUUAGGCUUUCGGAGGAUACUGCCAGACUUGGAACCGGGAGAGGUAAGAGGUACUACAGGGGUAGGAGUGAAAUCUUGUAAUCCCUGUGGGACCACCUGUGGCGAAGGCGUCUUACCAGAACGGGUUCGACCGUGAGGGACGAAAGCUGGGGGCACGAACCGGAUUAGAUACCCGGGUAGUCCCAGCCGUAAACGAUGCUCGCUAGGUGUCAGGCAUGGCGCGACCGUGUCUGGUGCCGCAGGGAAGCCGUGAAGCGAGCCACCUGGGAAGUACGGCCGCAAGGCUGAAACUUAAAGGAAUUGGCGGGGGAGCACAACAACGGGUGGAGCCUGCGGUUUAAUUGGACACAACGCCGGACAACUCACCGGGGGCGACAGCAAAAUGUAGGCCAGGCUGAAGACCUUGCCUGAAUCGCUGAGAGGAGGUGCAUGGCCGUCGCCAGUUCGUACUGUGAAGCAUCCUGUUAAGUCAGGCAACGAGCGAGACCCGUGCCCACUGUUACCAGCAUGUCCUCCGGGACGAUGGGUACUCUGUGGGGACCGCCGGUGUUAAAUCGGAGGAAGGUGCGGGCCACGGUAGGUCAGUAUGCCCCGAAUCUCCCGGGCUACACGCGGGCUACAAUGGAUGGGACAAUGGGUCCCUACCCUGAAAAGGGAUGGUAAUCUCAUAAACCCAUCCUUAGUUCGGAUCGAGGGCUGUAACUCGCCCUCGUGAGGCUGGAAUCCGUAGUAAUCGCGUUUCAAUAUAGCGCGGUGAAUACGUCCCUGCUCCUUGCACACACCGCCCGUCAAACCACCCGAGUGAGGUAUGGGUGAGGGCACGGACACCGUGCCGUGUUCGAACCUGUACUUUGCAAGGGGGGUUAAGUCGUAACAAGGUA
rnacentral:rRNA from 1 species